AUAUGAAUCACAUGGGGAUCUUUUAAAGUGCAGAUUCUGAUUGGGUAGUCUGGGAUGGAACCUGAGAUGCUGCAUAUUUUACAAGCUGUCUGGUAAUGCUCAU
rnacentral:pre_miRNA from 1 species